rnacentral:rRNA from 1 species
AUUGAACGCUGGCGGCAGGCCUAACACAUGCAAGUCGAACGCGUGGCGCACGGGUGAGUAAUGUCUGGGAAUCUGCCUGAUGGAGGGGGAUAACUACUGGAAACGGUCGAUAAUACCGCAUUCCAUCCGAUGUGCCCAUAUGGGUGUAGCUAGUAGGUGGGGAAACGGCUCACCUAGGCGACGAUCCCUAGCUGGUCUGAGAGGAUGAUCAGCCACACUGGAACUGAGACACGGUCCAGACUCCGACGGGAGGCAGCAGUGGGGAAUAUUGCACAAUGGGCGCAAGCCUGAUGCAGCCAUGCCGCGUGUAUGAAGAAGGCCCUCGGGUUGUAAAGUACUUUCAGCGGGGAGGCGUUACCGACAGAAGAAGCACCGGCUAACUCCGUGCCAGCAGCCGCGGUAAUUC